AUUUAAAUAGCUUAAAUUCAAAAAAGUUUAAUAAUGAAAAUAUUAAGAUGAUUAAUUAAUCUUUAAAUA
rnacentral:tRNA from 1 species